rnacentral:rRNA from 1 species
AUUGAACGCUGGCGGCGUGCCUAAUACAUGCAAGUCGAACGGAGUGGCGCACGGGUGAGUAAUAUAUAGCUAAUCUGCCCCUUGCUGGAGGACAACAGUUAGAACUGACUGCUAAUACUCCAUAGCAAUGGAGGAGACUAUAUCGUAUCAGCUAGUCGGUGGGGUCACGGCGUACCGAGGCGAUGACGCGUAACUGGUCUGAGAGGAUGAGCAGGCACAUGGGAACUGAGACACGGUCCAAACUCCUACGGGAGGCAGCAGUAGGGAAGAGUGCGCAAUGGGGGAAACCCUGACGGAGCUACGCCGCGUGGAGGAUGACACUUGGCGGAGCGUAAAGUCAUGUUGUUAGGGAAGUGGUACCUAACGAAUAAGCACCGGCUAACUCCGUGCCAGCAGCCGCGGUAAUUC